UUGGACGCAGCGGGGGAUCCCCAGCAUUUCGUUUCUGCCUCGCUUGGCGUAUCAUCAUCUUUUACCGGAAGGAGAUGAGCGGGUUCACACUCGCAGAGGGCAGCAGGAACACAGGACGCUCUUCGCUCGGCUCCCCGUCUCUCUUCUCUCCUCUUCCUCUCUUCCCACGUCUGUCUCUCCAUCUUCGAAAUCCGCUGCUGCACAGGCUGCCGGGACAGCGCGAGGAGACCGCGGAGAGCAAAGGGGAAAAGGUGCUUCACCUGCGGAGCGGUUUACUUCCGAGCAGCAGAGGAAGCUCUGGAGCGAACAGCUGCAGUGUUCGGUGAACUCUGGCAGUUUGACGGUAGUUUCUCCGCUGUAGAGGGAGGAGGACGACCGAGCCGUUCAUCUUCAUUUCACGUGUGCCCUGCUCUGACAGCCGCGCGCACCGAGCUGCCUUGGACAUUAGAUGCUCCAGCCUUUUUUCCUUUCCCACAUGCGAGAAAACGCAUUUUAGACACACUCAAUCCGUGACUGAAGGACGGAAACACGCGUCUUCGUUCCCCCCAGACUUCAGCUCAUCAAAGCGAUCAGAAAAGUAAAGUAGAGGGGAGAGACGGUGCGGCAGAUACAGCGCUCUGAGUGCGCUUUGUAUUUGAUUUUUUUUCCUGAAAUUCUGAAAGUGGAAGUUUGUUUUGCGGGAGGGGGGGGGAGUGGAAGAAAACAAGAAACCAAACGGAGGUGGUAAACUAGCAGAGGAGGAUCUGCGCACCGGGACGGACAGGUAGGACAGAUCAGACAUACUGGACAUGAUCAGAAAGGGAACGAAAGGUGUUUAAAUCUAGUCAAACGUUUUGAUUUGCAGGUCGAGCAAAUACUGCCGAGCAGUAUUUCAGGGAAACGGCAGUUUUGUUUUGUUUUUAGCGACAGAUGCCAUUCUCUCCGGUAAAAAUGGCAGGUCAUCAGUGCUUUACAUGUCGAUACACAUCACGCUCUGUAAGACACGUUUAAGAGCAUCCGAAUAAAAUCCUCGGCUUUUCAUUAAGGGACCAAUGAAAACAAAAUGACACCACGUGUUUGAUAAAUUUCUAACUUUUCUAAUUGGCUCUCCGUUAUUAACCUCCAGUUGGACAACAACAUCUGUGCGCACGCAGGGAGAUCCUCUUUUAAAGUUGUUGUUGUUUUUUUUUUUUUUUGAAAAGCACACUUCGCUGUAGACCGAUUUAUGCGCCGAAUGAGGAGCUGGGGUCUGCGCUUUGAGAAGAUACCAAACAAUUUGUUUAAAUACACACAGCACUGUACCCCUUAAAUCCAUAGUUUUUCUGAAUGGAAAACGUGGCGAUCUCGACGUACUUCAGGUUUACUGUGCAGAAUCUACACACGCACACUCGUGUAAUGUUUUAAAAGGCACAUUUUGAGACGAAUUGAAGACGCACAUAUCUCAGGAACGAUGAGCUAAUAGAGAGGGUUGUUUUCAUCGUGCGUGUGUUAUUUUCAUGUGUUUAUCGAGGGAGAUUGAAGGUCGGAUAAAAGGAGGGCGUUUGGUUUCAGAGUGGGCUGAACAAAGAAGAAAAGUGAAAGUCAGGCUCGCUUGUUGAGCUUUAGAAACUCAUAAAUCACAGUGAUUGAAGGUGUGCUACCACCGUGAAUUAUAUCUCAAUUUUGAAACACUUGAUUUUGCUAAAUUCCAGCCUUAUUUUACUCGGCUGCAGCCGGCAAAGGAAUUUUAUGAACGUAUAUUCGACCUCCAGAACAGAGAUCAGUCACUCUCAUGCAGAAUAUAAUGAAAGUGAUUGAAUAACACCCAGCCUUUCAAACAUGCUGUACAACCCCAGACCUAUGAUUUAGUCUAACAUGGUUACAUUUGUGCUGGUUUGACCUCCCCUCCGCUAUUGAUCGCAAGCAGGACCCCUCUUCCAAAUAGGAUUACAGGCAUCUCUGAACUCACCAAAUUCAGGUAAUAAAUGUUAUUAAAGGACAGACCUUUGUUAUUAAAGCACACCCUACUGUAAACUAGCAAGGUGUACUUAAGGUGUGAGCAGACACUCUUCUGCAGUCUUUAAAGCCUUGGUGGGAAGUUAUGCUCCUGAAAUGUCUGCUGUUGCCUUUAUAAGUCCAGCUGGUGUUUCUGUGAGCAGACUUUUAAAAACAAUUUCUUUCUUUCGAGUUUUUUGGGCACUUAAUUUGCGGAUGUACUCGCUGCUCCAACCCCAUAUUCCAGGGUCGUGUUUAAUAUUUUAUCUUGCCUUGUCUUCUGGAACAGAGAGCUCUUGUCCUUGAUUUCUUCACCUUACCUCUGUCGCAGGUACCUAAGAGCUUCAGUGCAGUUCACUGAAAAUCUUUCGGGAGAUGGAGAAAAGAUUUUUUGGGGAAAUUUUUUUGGCUCAACUCUUGAGAAAUUGCAGGUAAUUGCAGUAUUUUAGUUCAAGAAUUGGACAGUGAAUGUGAAAAGCAAGUUAGUGGUGACCUUAAGAAAAGGAUUUGACACCUUAAGUGGUAGAAAAAUAACAUCAAACCUUAUUGUUUUGAUGCAUUGUGCUGUCGGUGUCUGAGAUUAAAUAGUUUGAGUCAAUGAAGUUUGGUUGCAUCUUUGUUGCGCACUCAAGGUGAGAUGUGGUGACAUUUGCUGUGGUCUGAUUGUCUGAAUGCACAGGCAUACCCUUUAAAAAAAUGCUUUUCAUUUUAUUUUAGGGUGUAUUAUCUACCAAGUAUUACAAAGUAUAAACAAAUGAAAGAAAAAGACCCAUGAAACCCUCAGACCCUUCAUUGACUGUGAUAAAUGAUGCAGAAAAUUGUCACAUAUCUGCUUUUGAAAAGCUCAAACUGCACUUUUAAAAAUGACUGAGAGGAUAAAAACUAUCACUUGACAGAAUGGAUGAAGACCAUAUUUAUCUGGAACAUGCAAGUAUGUUUUGGUUAAGUGGAUGCAUGUCUGCCGUCAGCCUCGCAUUAUUUUUAGCUGCUGUUGCUGUGUUGCACAAAUUGAAGUCAUUCCCUGAGCUUCUACAUUUCUUCUCGCUUUGUGGAAACUGAAGCUCUGCACAGUUCAGAGCGUUCACUGUAUUCAGGUGGAGCUAUUUUAGGUUUACUUCUAUUGCGCAGCACUGUAAGCAUUUGAAGCUUGCUUCGCUCUGAAUGUGUGAAAUUAAAGUCAAAUAAUUUUUCGAUCAUCAUAGAGUUAAACAACCAGGCUGAAGAUGAAGGUGGAGGUGUUUGCACAGAUGCCUGCAGCAUACUGUCCUCCUGCUGUUAGCUCCACAGAUGGCUGCAGCUCCCUCUCAGCAGCAGCAGAAGAAGAGUUAUUUUAGCAUUACUGUAAGUUUAUACAUGAAGGGUCUUAGUUUUUGAAGAAAAUAUAUCUGCGAAAGUGUUUGAUUUUUCUGUCUCUGAUGAUUUGUCAGAGGUCAUACAUUUGACAGGUUAGCACUUCUCAGCUGCACUCAAAGUCACUAUAAACGAUUUAAUCAAAGUGCAUGAUGAUAAAAUUCCCUUUUCCGCCCAUUAAUUUUUAGUGCAUCUUUACUUCUUAUAAGCCAGGACAUGCCUCUGAACGCAGGUUUAGUCCAUGCUUGCUUACUGCGUACUUAGCGAAGUGUCUUAUUGAACUGCUCUCCAACUUGUGCAUCCCAAAAAUGGCAGAUAGCGUGCACACAAGCAGCCUUUGACAAAACAGUUAAAAUGAUUCAAUGACGCACAAUCACACCCAUGAUUGAUGAAGAUCCAGCUGCUUCAACGGCAUCAAGUCCAAAUGUUUUGUUUUAUUCUUGCUGCAGAAAUUACCUGUAAAUGAUGCCUUCUUAUAUUUUCAUUCUCUUGGAUUCAGAUGGUGCUUUAGCUUCAUCAGGAGAAAAAAAAAGUAUGAAAACUUUUUGAACAUUUACUGUGCAAGUCUUAAAAUUUAAAUUCACAAUAUUUCUAUUUAAUCUGAUGGGUUCGACUGCAAAGACUUGAUCGGUUAUAAAAGUGCAUAAAUUGGUGUGGUGUCGCUGCAGGAUGUUUAAAGGAUUCUAGCAAAAGUUGUUUAUGUGAAUGAAUGUCAAUUUUGUGUAUUGAAUGAUGUGUGUUUAUGCACACACACACACACACACACACACACACACCCCCGCAUGACUGAAUUUGUGCUGUGUAUGCUUGUGUGUGUGCGUGUAUCUCUUAUAUACUGAAAAGUGUGCUGUGUGUGU